UACGGGGGGGGCAAGCGUUGUUCGGAAUUACUGGGCGUAAAGGGUCUGUAGGUGGCUUGCUAAGUCAGACGUGAAAUCCCUCAGCUUAACUGGGGAACUGCGUCUGAGACUGGCGAGCUUGAGGGCAGGAGAGGAACGCGGAAUUCCAGGUGUAGCGGUGAAAUGCGUAGAUAUCUGGAGGAACACCGGUGGCGAAGGCGGCGUUCUGGACUGCAUCUGACACUGAAAGACGAAAGCCAGGGGAGCAAACAGG
rnacentral:rRNA from 1 species